GGAAGAAGUUGUACCUCAGAAGCUAACAAAAUCUGCCAAGCAAAUGGAAACAAAAACAAGCAAGAAGGUUGUGCAUGUUAAGGAGAGGUCAAUUUGUUUCAUGGCAAGGGAUGGUCCCAGAGCUCUUGGCUCAAAACCACUCCUUGAGGGCAAAGAAAACUGCUUAGAGGAACUGACAUUUGUUAUCACUGAAGUGCUGGAAAGUAUUGAGAGAAAUGACGCUGCGGCUUUGAUUCAGAGGUACGGUGGCAAGGUAACUCAGGCGGUGAGCAAGAAAACAAGUUACAUUUAUAUUGUGGUGGGACAGGACCCAGGGUGCUAUGAUGAGCAUUGAAUUCAAGGAAGGGCUCAAGAUUCCACCUCAGGCCAUGGACCAGAUUAUAAUUGGUGCAAACCAAGAUGUUCUUUAUAGUUUGACCAUGUGGACAGCCAAGGAGAAGAGUCUUAGUUAUGAUCAAUCCAAUGAGGAUGCAGCCAGGGCACAAAAAGACAUCAAAAUGGUUCCUUUUGAUGCGAGAGUUCAAAGAUGGACUUGAAUUAAAAAUCAAGGAUGGUCUUUUGCGACUACUCAUUGAUGCCUCUGUACAAGAAAACUGCCUUUCGGCGGAUCCAGGGCAUUCCCAGCAAUGAUGUUAUAUGUGAUCCCAUUCGAUCUGAUGACUGGGGAAAUGGGUCAGAGGAUUGAAUUUCCUCAGUGGCUUGGUAAAAAUUCCGAAUAUUGUAGACUUGACCGCAGUUUACAAGAGCUUUAGAGUCACAUGAGAUUAAGGAAUCACACGAGAUCAGUUCUGGGAUGUUCAGAGCUAUGAAAUUGAUUGAGGAGUAUGACUUGACAAAAAGAGGACUGGGAUUCUAUCAUAGAGCUUGGCCAGUUUGAAGGACAGAGGGAUCCUGUCAUUUCUAUCCCAUUGAAGGUUUGUACAUGUAGUCCCUUGAUUCUUGUUCUGGAAUGACAUGUUUGUUGAUAGUAAAUUUGAGCUCGUCAAAAGACAGCUGCAGGCUAAUGCUCAGCCUUUUAAACUCUGGGUGAACAGUCCGGGUUAAGGCCUUAGGCAGGGUCAUUGUGUUGUGUUCUUGGGCAAGCCAGUUGUUCUCACGGUGCCUCUUGCCAAUAACAAAUGACCCUCACUCGCUCAUCUUCUUUGUCCCAGCUUGGAGGUACAUGUAAGGGCAUAAAAAGCCAACAAAUUAAUACGGGUGAUAACCACCCUAACUGCCUACAAAUCAGUAAGAGAAAUUUUUGACACCAAAACAUAAAUAAUGGGUAAUCUACAGGUGUUUCCGCCAA
rnacentral:misc_RNA from 1 species